GAGAUUCUCAGUCUGAUGUGCACCAAAUCAUCUAAUCUGGAUAAUGCAUAUUUAUCAGUGGCGAAACGUAUGCAGUCAUGGGAAUGCAAAAGGGAUGUCUCAGUUGCUGGAGUCAAUUUCUUGUGCAAUUUUCUAGGUGAGGCAACGACAUGGCCAAGACUCCACCGCACCUUGGAUUCUUCUACAUAUAGUAAUAGUUUAUAAUAAGCAA